AUUGAACGCUGGCGGCAGGCCUAACACAUGCAAGUCGAGCGAGCGGCGGACGGGUGAGGAAUGUAUGGGAAACUGCCUGAUGGAGGGGGAUAACUAACGGAAACGGUAGCUAAGACCGCAUACCAUAAGAUGGGCGCAGAUGGGCUUGGCUAGUGGGUGGGGUAACGGCCCACCAAGGCGACUAUCCCUGGCUGGUCUGAGAGGAUGACCAGCCACACGGGAACUGCGCCCCGGUCCAGACUCCUACGGGAGGCAGCAGUGGGGAAUAUUGCACAAGGGGCGCACGCCUGAUGCAGCCAUGCCUCGUGUGUGAAGAAGGCCUUCGGGUUGUAAAGCACUUUCAGCGGGGAGGCGUUACCCGCAGAAGAAGCACCGGCUAACUCCGUGCCAGCCGCCGCGGUAAUAC
rnacentral:rRNA from 1 species